UGGCCCAUGUGCUCUGCGUGUUUCCCAUCACCAGCAAUGCCCAGCGGAUGCUUCCCUGGAUCCCAGCCCUGCAGUGAGCAGAGCUGGUGACACUGUGGAGCACUCACAGCACAGGAAUUUCCCCCUUUGUGCUGUAACCCGUAUCCUGUCCCCAGAGAGAUGACAUCCCUGUCUCCCAGCUGGUACCUCAGCUCUCAGCUGUGUCGAUGUGUGCCGUCAUUCAGCAGGAUUUACGCUCAGCACAAGGGAAGUGGGUCUGUCUGAGCUUGUCCCAGCACCGCCUGCGUCACUCCAUGGUUAGGGACAGGUCCUUGGACACUGCUCCUCCGCCUGCCUGGAAAAGAGAAAUUCCUGCGAAAUCCUCCUUCUUACUGUCUCUCCCCUGGGCAGAUCCCUGCAUCUGGAUCUCCAAAAGCUGCCUGCUCCCGUGGCAUCGUGCCUGGUCCUCCUGCCUGCAAGAGGAGUAAAGCCCUGAGCACGUGUCCAUCUUCCCUCUGGGAUGCUGCCCAUGGUCUGAAGGAUGCUGCAGAGAAGGAGCCACCCCCCUGGCCAUGCAGAGCAGGUUUGAAAGUGCCAGUGGAAGGAAGCAACAAGGAUGCUGAAGGGGAGGCUCCGGCAGCCCUGCCUGCACAGCCAGCCCGGCCAGGCUGCACAUAACCCCUGUGUUUGUGGCACAGCAGAGAGGGACACCCCGGGGGACACCGGCUGCUGGCAGGAGAUGGGGAGCAGAGGGGUGCAGAGAUGCCAUCAGCUCCAGGAUGCUCCUGCCUCCGAGCCGGUCGAGGAGCAGGGAUGGAUGAGACCACAGGGAGGGAAACCCGAGGGGCUCAAUGGGGACACAAUGGGUCCCAUGUUGGAUGGCAGCAGCCUGGCCUUGGCGGCUGAACCUUCAGCCCCCCCAAAAUGCCCCAGCUCUGCCCCAGAGGUGCCCACUGCAGCAACCAGCCCCACAGCCAACCCCAGCCAGGAGUGGAAAGUGGUGAAGAUCCAACGGGUCCUCAUCCAGCCCGCCAGCGAGCCGAAGAAAGCGGGUCUGUCCCGCAGCGCCAGCCUCUCCGAGAA
rnacentral:lncRNA from 14 species